UGACCAUCUUUCACAAAGGUGCUAGCCGAUAAGCACAACGGGAAGGCGAGAGCAGUGCGUCCCGUGUGUAGCACUUAACCUUCCCACCAUCACCACCACCCCCGCGACGGUGUGUGUGUGCGCGCGCGCUCGUCGCGUGCUUUCAUUUCUGAUUAUUUUUCCCUUCUUCAGCUUCCCUCGUGUGGGCACGCAGAAAAGCCACCGCGCGCGCACACAUGAGCGUAGAUGGUUGAGCACACAGAGAUACACAUUCAAACUCGCGUCUCCGUACCCGCACAUCCCUAUACGCGAUAGAGCAGGAAUAAAAGUCUGAGAAUUUGGUAUCCCUUUGCUCAUCUUUUUUUUGGCGGGAACCCUCUCGCCAUCGCCAUCAUGACCUCCUAUGGCAUCGACGGUGAGGUUGAGCAGCGCUACCGAAUUCUCCGCCACAUCGGCAGCGGCGCCUACGGAGUCGUCUGGUGUGCUCUCGACCGCCGCACGGGCAAGUGCGUUGCCCUCAAAAAGGUCUACGACGCCUUUGGCAACGUUCAAGAUGCGCAGCGCACUUAUCGGGAAGUGAUGCUUUUGCAGCGACUGCGGCACAACCCCUUCAUUGUCGGCAUCCUCGAUGUGAUUCGUGCAGCCAACGACAUUGACCUGUACCUCGUUUUUGAGUUGAUAGAAACCGAUCUCACAGCCAUUAUUCGUAAAAACCUUCUGCAGCGCGACCACAAGCGCUUCCUCACCUAUCAGUUACUUCGCACAGUGGCGCAGCUCCACGCACAGAACAUCAUUCACCGGGAUUUGAAGCCGGCCAACAUAUUUGUGAGCAGCGACUGCUCCAUCAAGCUCGGGGACUUUGGUCUGGCUCGCACGUUUCGCAGCGGCUUCGACAACGAGCAGGAGUUUCUCGACCUGACUGACUACAUCGCAACUCGGUGGUACCGGUCGCCGGAGAUUUUGGUCAAGUCGCGCGCGUACUCCACAGCGAUGGACAUGUGGGCCAUCGGGUGUGUGAUUGGGGAGAUGCUGCUGGGCCACCCACUCUUCGAGGGCCGAAACACGCUGGAUCAACUCCGUCUGAUCGUCGAGGCUAUCGGCGUGCCGAGCGACGCAGAUGUGCGCAGCCUUCACUCGCCCGAGCUCGAGACUCUCAUCAACUCCCUUCCGACCCCGCUGAUCUUCUCUCCACUUGUGGGGAACAAGAACCUGAAGGAUAGCGAGGCGACAGGCUUGAUGAUGAAGCUCAUCGUUUUCAAUCCAAAGAGGCGGCUUUCCGCGGUGGAGGCGCUGCAGCACCCCUACGUCGCCCCGUUUGUGCAGCCUGGUGAACUGGAGAAAAUCCAAGACCUCGACCCACUCGUGCUGCCCCUCGUGGAUGAGAAGGUCUACACCAAGGAGGAGUACAAGGCGAAUCUGUACGACGAGAUCGGCAUGCGCUACCGCCAUCACAUAACAGACGUGUAUUAGCGACAGACUGAAGUUGUCGGCGAGGUGCACAGCGAACCAUGUCGAAGAUGCUCCAGCCGCCCUGCAGGGAGCAGCCCCGACGCGACGCACCGUUUCCACUACGAAAAAAAAAGAAAGGACACGCGCUUGUUGUCCCUCUUCCUCCCAACCACCACCACCCAUCAUGCAUCCCUCUCGUUCUCCCUGCGUGCACAUGUGAAGAGAGGGGCUGCUUUUCGCAACACUGUCACAGCAUCCACACGCGGCGGCCGUUGUCGAGUUGCCGUUACCGUUUUCUUGUUUUGCCCAGUCGAGUUCCUCUUUGUUUCUAGUGAGCUUUUGUGUGUGUGUGUCUAAUCCGUAUGAGCCGUCCUUUGCCUUCGCCCGUUCUCCGGUCUCUCUCUAUCCUCGUCGCGUCGCGUUGCACCCGUGCGUGCGGUCGUAAUUGAAGAUGCCCCUGCUCCACCUCCCUCUGCACCUCAUCGUCUUGGCAAGGGAAGGAGAGCCGAAAGGAAUACGGAGAUUGUGUCUGUUUGUGCGCGGGUACGUGUACUUUGUGCGUGCCUGUGCCGUUGUCGUGCUGCAGAUGCAGCCCCAGCAUAGUAACGUACGAGCACAUCUGCACACGUUCCUGUGCCUCGCUAAUUGACACAAUGCUCCGCUUUUUUUUUCGAGGGAGGAGAUCGAUGUCGGUACGAUUUUGUGUGCGUGUGUAGGCGCGCGAGGCGGAAACGGGCUCAUUGGUGGAAUUAGGGAUCAAAGACCACGUUCUCUUCUCUCAGCUAUGUGCGUAUGCGUAUGCGUGUGCGUGUGUGCGCCUGUCCUUCUGUUUGGACGUCUUUGCUCCUCAAAUGCUUCUCCUCUGUUCAUGUAUUUAUUUUUCCGUGUUUGAAACUGACGUCUGCUGUGCGGCGGCACACGCUAGUACUCUUAAGCCUACGCCCCCCCUUUUCUGCACGCAAGCACAGGGUUAGGGUGUGUAUGUGCAUGUGUGCAUGUGUAUCGAUGCUGGCGUGGGGAUGCCGUCCGAAGUGCGCCUAACUUUUUUCUCUC
rnacentral:misc_RNA from 1 species